AGGGGAACAGAGCAUUCCAAGGCAAGACACCAACAAAGGCAAAGGCUUGGAGGUGAAAAAGUGAGGCUUGCAGCUUCACUCUCCUUUUCCCAUAUCCAAAUCCAGCCCGUCAUCUGAGACCCACACUGAGCCGCCUCCCUCAUGAAGCCCUCCCAGAUACCUCAUGUCCUGCUGACCCUUCUCUUCCUGGAGAACUCAGGCCUGGAGCGCUCAUCUGGCUUGAACUGCUUGGUUGGGUGGCGAGCCGGUUAUGCACACAAGCUCUGAGAGGCCUGGGGGAAGUUGCUUAACCUCUCCAGCCCUCAGUUCCUUCACCUGUAGUUGAGAAUAAUAAUACCUAUCUUUCAGGGUUGCUGAGGGGAGAAUAUUGAUAGAUACAGAGUGCUGGGCACCUGGUGAAUACUGCGUCUUCAGAAAGGACUUCCCUGAUGGCCCUUUCUAGAUAAUCAUUUUUUUCUAGAGGUGGCUCCUGCAGAAUUGCCCAUCCCACGGGCCCUUUGGCCUCAUGGCUGCUCGGACCCCUAGCGUAGCGUGGAAGAGAUGUUUUGGGCCUGGCGCCUAACUGGCCUGGAAGUCAGCCACCCUGGAAGUGCAACAAGCCUGAGACCACAGAGCUGUGAGAAGCCCGAGCCACGUGGGGAGGAAGGGGAUCCAGGAGUGUCAGACACCAGCCCUGGGAGUGAGGACACCACCUUGGGGAGGAUUCUGGAAUGCCUGUGUGUGCCUGAGACUGUCUCUAACCUGAAGAUGUGGGCAUUGGUUCCGAGGUCCUGUCGUCACUGAGAUGCAGCAACUCGGACUCUAAGUGAGAAGGGGCUUCCCAACAUUGGCCUUAGUCCUCAUCGGACCAUGUUCUUGCCUGAUGAGCCAGGCUGGAGGAAGGCUCCAAGUGCUGGGUUUUCUCCUUGGGACUUUGUCCUGGGGAUCCUGGGGUAGGGGCUGGACUUGGGGAUCCCGUAGCCUCCCCUAACUGGAAAAAUAGCCGAGAACCCAGGGCAGGAACUGGGCAGAGAAAGAUGGGGGGCCCAGGUGGCUGAGGAGGGGAUGGCCUGAUAAUGUAACUGUCCUGGACAGUGCUCCCAGGAUUUCACAAGGAACAAAGCCCUGGCUUUGGGGCGUCUGGCUUUCUCAGCGAAGCCUGACAUCGCCAACGACUGGGAAACAGUGACAUCUGCCGGCUGCCUGAGGCCAGAGCCCUCCUCCUUGGUUGGAGAACCACAGGGCGUUAGACCAUCUUAGAAUCCUGGAACAAAGAGGAUUUGGCCUUUGAUUCAGCUGUCUGGGAGGAGCCCAGGAUUCUGCAUUUCUAACAAGCCGCUAAUACCACUGGGUCUGGGUCGGCAGUGCACCUUGUUUAGAAAGCUUUAUUUAUAUCAAUUAUAUCUCAGUAAAAUUGAAGGAGUUCCUGUCGUGGCGCAGUGGUUAACAAAUCCAACUAGGAACCAUGAGGUUGUGGGUUCGAUCCCUGGCCUUGCUCAGGGGGUUAAGGAUCCUGCGUUGCCGUGAGCUGUGGUGUAGGUUGCAGACGCAGCUCGGAUCCCUCGUUGCUGUGGCUCUGCCGUAAGCCAGUGGCUACAGCUCUGAUUAGACCCCUAGCCUGGGAAUCUCCAUAUGCUGCAGGAGCAGUCCUAGAAAAGGCAAAAAGACAAAAAGACAAAAAAAAAAAAAAAUGGAGGAAAAAAUGUUUUAGGGGGCUCAGAGAUGAAUCAGAUCUGGUCCCAGACAUCCCAAGUGUCUUAGGGGUGCUUUUCCACAUAUAAAAUCUGUUGAUCACAAGGCAAGA
rnacentral:lncRNA from 1 species